rnacentral:rRNA from 1 species
CCUACGGGUGGCAGCAGUGAGGAAUAUUGGUCAAUGGACGAGAGUCUGAACCAGCCAAGUAGCGUGAAGGAUGACUGCCCUAUGGGUUGUAAACUUCUUUUAUAUGGGAAUAAAAUGUUCCACGUGUGUGAUUUUGUAUGUACCAUAUGAAUAAGGAUCGGCUAACUCCGUGCCAGCAGCCGCGGUAAUACGGAGGAUCCGAGCGUUAUCCGGUUUUACUGGGUUUAAAGGGGGCGUAGGUGGAUUGUUAAGUCAGGUGUGAAAGGUUGCGGCUCAACCGGAAAAUUGCAGUUGAAACUGGCAGGGUUGAGUAAAGGAGAGGUGGGUGGAAUUCGUGGUGUAGCGGUGAAAUGCUUAGAUAUAACGAAGAAAUCCGAUUGCGAAGGCAGCUCACUGGACUGCAACUGACACUGAGGCUCGAAAGUGUGGGUAGCAAACAGGAUUAGAUACCCUGGUAGUC